UUGUGUUUCCUCUUCACAAGAACUUCCAGUUCGAGGCUGCCUCCAUGCCGCUACAUUGGAAUCGGCAUUGUGCACCCCCUCGUAAGAAUAUAGGUCCUUGGGACUUUUGGAGGACAGCGAAAGCACAAUUCUACCUAAAUACAGAGAGAGAGUUAUCACAGCUCCCAAAUACUUGUGUGGUUGAAGUCGAUCUCGACUGAUUCGAAACGAGUGGGACACACAAUGGCUCACAUGCGAAUGAGGACCCUGAAGAUGCUGCCUAAAAGCGCGACGUACGAGACUCCAUACACAACAGGAAGCAAUGCUGCCCAUUAAAUUGCCCACGCAUCCUGUGGCAUCGAGGAACACAAGCAUCUGCAUCGGGUAAUCAGAGAGCAGGCAAUCUUUCGGCGUAAACGACGAGAAUGUUAACCUUCUUCACCAUCGUCACACACUCUUAAGUUGGCUUUCAGUUUCGGGCGAAGUUUGUGGACCAAUUGUCGGAAGAGUCCUGGUUGUGGAUCGUCAGCAUUGUAGGAAACGAUUGCGGCGCCUAUUUCAAGUCCAUUUCAAGCCAACCUGGUCGACGCUAAAGCUCAACCUCUACUUCAGCGUCGUCACAGACCAACAUAUGCGAAGAACUUCUGCAUCAGCUCCUUGCGAGGUGGAUUCCGGAGAUGGGUCGUGCAUCAUCUAGACAGGAAAAGGCACCAUCGCCGGGCUCAGGGCUCCCACAUCACUCGUCACCUUCUUCUUCUUCUUCUUCUUCUUCUUUAUCAUUUUGCUUCGAGCUGGUUUCAUCGACAAUUCACACACUGUGAUGUUCUGGAUCAGCCUUCACUGCAGCUCCAGCAGCCAUGGCCACUGAUUCCUUCAACAACAACAAGAGCAGUUGAGCUAUUCAUCUAUUACAUUACACAUUGCAAGCGGAUAUGCACAAUCUGUGUUUCCAUUGACAAAAAUUUGAAGUGAAAGAUGGAAAACACGUAAGAAGCGGAGUUUACGAUGCAGUCGAUUCGUGAUGACAUGGUGGGACUGCAUUGAAAUCGCUUCUUCUUGUACAAUUUUGCAUCUUCCAUGUGUUGGUUUUGUAUUGUUUUGUAUUGUUUUUUAAUCUCCAAGUGUUUGUUGUAGUUGUGUUUUUCCUGUUUCAACAGUCUGUUGGGAAGGUUUUUGGCACCCUGUGUGUGAAAAGGAUGUGAGAUAAUGAAUGACACAAUGUUGGUGUGCUACAUCUCCAACAUUGUAGAGAAAUAUGAGCUUCAAAACUAUCACACCUGAUAGAGAAAGAUAUGAAGUGGCUUGUUUGAGGCAAAACAUUAUUGAUGAGUAUGAAAAGAAGAGUGAGGAGUUGUUGGAUUAUCUUAAUGUUAUGGAGGUGGAGUUGGAUCUUCAACAACAUGAAUUUGAACAACGAGAAGCCUUUUUGCGACAUGAAAACAAUCUUCUCAAAAACAAACUAAACCAAAGGCUUAAAUGGUCCAAACCAGAGGAAUCAAUAUAACAGUCUGUAAGCAUCAGUUCGGGAGCCAAGAUGUUGAAAAAGAGAUUAAUGUGCAGACCACACAAGAUAAUGGGAAUUGUGGAAGGAAACAGAAAAGAAUUAAGGAACUUAAAACUUAUGUAGAUGACUUGCAACUUGAGCUUCAAAAAGUUGGAGAAAUGACAUUGCGUCAAAAGCAAGGGAUGGAACAAUCUAAAAACAAAAUGGAACGUGAAAACCAAGAACUUCGACUCAAAGUUGCUCUUGGUUGGAUGUUGGGUUGUUUAUCAGAGUUAUAUUCACAGGUUGAAUUGAAAAGUAAAGGUGCAAAAAUUAUGAGCUUAAUCAAGAAAGUUCAACAAGAACUUGUGUAGCUGGAAGUUGCAUAUUUAAUGAGAAAGAUUUAUUUUCUAAAUCAGAAAAUGAAGCCACUCGAGUUGACAUUCAUCAGUUAAUUGGAAAUUCUCAUCCAUUGCGUACAACAUCGUUGCAGAGUUCUCAAACAAAUUAUAAUUCAAAUCAGAAAACAGUCACAUCUAGAGUUCAAAAACCAUGUAGCGGAAAUGAAUCUUUAGAAUAUCCAAAGUGUAGCCAAAAGCGAUGGCAGAAACACAAUGUUGUGCAUUUAAACAAAAAUGAACAAUAAGAGUACAAAAAAUUAAUUACGGACUCAAUUCUUUCAUUUCUGUAAGCGAACCUUGUUUGAGAAUUACCUUUCGACUUGGUAUGCUUGGAAUAUGUUUUUAGAAUUACCUUUCAAUUUAAGAAAUUCAACUUGGUAUGCUUGGAAAAUUCAAGAUUCAAUAAACUUAUUUUUCUUAA